GAAUGUGUUGCCGACACGUCAACAAAGUUAUCCACUGACCUCAAUUGUAGCUGGAUAGGAUGCAGUUACAGAUACCAUCUAUAGAACUUGCCAAGAUUUUGAAAUAACAAGACAUGCAGAAGUCCAAAAACCAAAACGGUUGGUUAAAGUUUCCUAGUCAAUGUUCAAGCCAUCGGCCCCUUGGUUUAAAAGUAGGUAGUAAAAA